CGUAUGUGAGCACCUUCGUUAUGGAUUUGUUUAUUAUGGAAAUCCUAAUUUCAGUUACUCUGCUGUAAACCAGAGUAACUCUGAUGAUUUCGGGAACUUCACUGAGUCACUUAUCUUGUGGUAUGGUAUCUGUGAAAGUCACCCUCGUUCAGAUCACAUGCUGAAGACUUAAAUCUAACGGGUCGAGCUUUUUCAUUACAUUUCAUUCUGCAACCAGAUACUAUAACAUGUGUAUAGACUUUUCAAAAGGGUUUACUUAAAAUGAUUGCUGCAAGAUAUAAAUAUGAGAUUCAUUGUUCAGAAGACCUCUGUAGAGCACUGCUGGCAUGUGACACUGGUUGGACAUCAUCAUCAUUCUUGCUAUUUAAUACCCACCUCAUCUGGGACCCGGAGCGGGUGAUGACUGUUAAAUAGUGUUUAUGAGACACCUAUCUGUUACGGUGAAAACAUGACGGAAAUGCCUUCAAGAAACCUGGCAGUUUGGAUUGAGUGAAGGACCGGGACAAUAUAUGCAGAAUAUAAUGCAGAAGCCACAAGCUAACUGUUGAAGAUGAAAACAAAAAAGUCAACUUUUGCUUUAAUUGAAUGCUGUCAGUACUGAGCACUGAAUGGAGCAGAUGUCCCUAAACAAGAAAGAUAAAAGAAUAUCUGAUCCUUUACUAAAAGGAUAUAAUCAUACGAAUGUACUAAGCAGCUAAUUAAACCUAUCUGGACUAUCAAAAUAAUUUCAUCAGACUUCCUGUAAAAUUCAGGCCAUAGAACCUCAAUUUCUACUUUCGCCCCCUAGCUUCUGUUUGAGCUGCAAUAUACGUGACUGCUGUGAUCAUAUUCUUUUAAUGCUGAUUUUAAAUGUAUUACAUAUAUUUUGCCUUGCGCUUUUGAUUUAACGUUGCUGGGUAGUCAGUGCUGGCUUACAAACGAACGUGCACAUAGGCUUUGUAUGCAAAGUUAUAUUUUAAAUGGAAGUUGUGUCAUAUUUAUGAAGAAAUUUCAAAGUGCAGUGAAUUGAAAAAGGAACAAAAAAUUGUGUGUGCUUUGCUUUUUUUUUUUUUUGAAGAAAUACCCUCCCUUUCUGAGCAAAGAAGAAAAAGAAAUUCAAGAUUUUUGUGGAUAUAGGUGUUUCAAGAGGGGUGUGUGUGUGUGUUUUUUUAAUGAGAGGAAAAUUAAAAUAAAAAUAGUGUAACUCCUUCCUUUAUUCA
rnacentral:lncRNA from 1 species